UUAGCCAAGGAGUUUGGCAGCCUCAGGACGAGGGCGGUGGAUCAGGAUGGUUUAUCGAACAUGGACUGUGAAGGGAUAAUUAAACGGAAGUGAUGCAGUAGGUAGGAUGCUUACUUGUUAGGAAGACGAAAAUGGACCGCUUCAGGAUGAAGCAAAGGACACCUCCAGGACGGAGAGAGAGUCGGAACAGGAUGAUUCGGCAGAUCAAGGUAAGAUCAAAGGACGUCUCUAGGAUAGAGAAUAAAGGACUAAGCUGAAGGAAUCAGCAAAAUCAUGGAAUGAUGCAGGGAGCACCAUAGUAGCCGGAUUGCUGCAAGUAAGACCUAAGGGCGCGACGAAUGUCGCGCCCGUUCUUUUUUAG
rnacentral:other from 1 species